rnacentral:rRNA from 1 species
UACGGGGGGGGCAAGCGUUGUUCGGAAUUACUGGGCGUAAAGGGCUGUAGGUCGGCCAACUAAGUCAGACGUGAAAUCCCUCGGCUUAACCGGGGAACUGCGUCUGAUACUGGAUGGCUUGAGUGUGGGAGAGGGAUGCGGAAUUCCAGGUGUAGCGGUGAAAUGCGUAGAUAUCUGGAGGAACACCGGUGGCGAAGGCGGACUCCU